UUGAGCCGUAUGCGGUGAAAGUCGCACGUACGGUUCUGAGGGGGGAAAGAAGCCGAACGUCUUUUCUGGU
rnacentral:ncRNA from 1 species